rnacentral:rRNA from 1 species
AACGCUAGCUACAGGCUUAACACAUGCAAGUCGAGGGGAAACGACAUCGAAAGCUUGCUUUUGAUGGGCGUCGACCGGCGCACGGGUGAGUAACGCGUAUCCAACCUGCCCAUGACUUGGGGAUAACCUUGCGAAAGCAAGCCUAAUACCCGAUACGCUUCAUAGAUGGCAUCUGAAAUGAAGUAAAGGUUUACGGUUAUGGAUGGGGAUGCGUCCGAUUAGCUUGUUGGCGGGGUAACGGCCCACCAAGGCAUCGAUCGGUAGGGGUUCUGAGAGGAAGGUCCCCCACAUUGGAACUGAGACACGGUCCAAACUCCUACGGGAGGCAGCAGUGAGGAAUAUUGGUCAAUGGGCGAGAGCCUGAACCAGCCAAGUAGCGUGCAGGAUGACGGCCCUAUGGGUUGUAAACUGCUUUUUCGCGGGGAUAAAGAGGGGGAUGCGUCCCCCGUUGCAGGUACCGCGCGAAUAAGGACCGGCUAAUUCCGUGCCAGCAGCCGCGGUAAUACGGAAGGUCCGGGCGUUAUCCGGAUUUAUUGGGUUUAAAGGGAGCGUAGGCCGGAGAUUAAGCGUGUUGUGAAAUGUAGAUGCUCAACAUCUGCACUGCAGCGCGAACUGGUUUCCUUGAGUACGCACAAAGUGGGCGGAAUUCGUGGUGUAGCGGUGAAAUGCUUAGAUAUCACGAAGAACUCCGAUUG